rnacentral:rRNA from 1 species
UACGAAGGGGGGCUAGCGUUGCUCGGAAUCACUGGGCGUAAAGCGCACGUAGGCGGCUUUCUAAGUCAGGGGUGAAAUCCUGGAGCUCAACUCCAGAACUGCCUUUGAUACUGGAGAGCUUGAGUCCGGAAGAGGUGAGUGGAACUCCGAGUGUAGAGGUGAAAUUCGUAGAUAUUCGGAAGAACACCAGUGGCGAAGGCGGCUCACUGGUCCGGUACUGACGCUGAGGCAUGAAAGCGUGGGGAGCAAACAGGG